GGCACCUGCUGCUGGCCCUGGUUUCCUGAUGGGUCAAAUGCAGGCUCUUCUCCAGGAAAGGUGCUCAGAGGGAUGGGCCCUCAGGAUGAAGCGUGGAAAGGGAGAAUUACCCCUGAUGCGGACCUGAGUUUUACUCUUUCUGAGAGGUCAAUGUCAUCUCAGAUAUACAGAAAAAGGAGAAUACAAAGCAGGUCCUUCUUGAUCAUCUUUGUAACCAGAUCUUACAGGAAACAGCAGAAGGAGCUCUGGCUGGUGGUCAGGCAUCACUCCCACCUUGGCCUGGUGUUUUCAGGCCAGUUGGAUGUGGUGGAAAUUGCAUGAAGAGGAAUUGAGUAGGUCUGGAUCGUCAAUAACUUGGUAUGUAAUCCUGGGCGAAUCCCUUUUCCUUGAGAUCACUCUCUCAUCUGGAAUACAUCAGUGGUUUUCAAAUUGUGCUCCAGCAGAACACGGCUGAUCCAGAAGCUAGACCAAGGAACACUGGUGGUCUCUAUACAAUUCACAGAAAACUGAAGUGGAAUAAAAUGUCCCCCCUUUGCUGUCGCUUAGUUAUUUCUAUUUAUUAUAACAUUUCCUGCACUGAAUAGAUUUUUCUGAGCAUACACAACUGUUUCUUCAAUUUGAGAUACCAAUAAACAGC
rnacentral:lncRNA from 1 species